rnacentral:misc_RNA from 1 species
UUGCUCCAGGGGUCAGUGGUU